UUCCUAAGAACCUGAAGUGGUCCACGCCGAUACAGAGUUGUUGAGGAUGGUGGACUCUGUUUGGCUUUGUGUUUUGCUUUUCAGUUGGGUAUCUUUAUUCUUUGGCCUUAGCAGUUUUGUUAGUUUAUUUCUCCAGUCAAUUUGAUGUUACAUUUGUUCUCUUUCCAGCUCUUCCUUAUAGGUUAGCUUUAGUUUGUACAUAUUCUGGUUCUCUUGUUCUGUUUCCUUUCCUGUCAAUUCAGUCAGUGUGGUUAGGUUCGUUUACUUUAUGGGCUCUUUCUUUGUUCUUAGGUUGUUGUUGGUGUUCCUAUGUUCCCUCUAGUUUCUCUGUUUACUUUAGUUCAUGGCUAUUCUACUUUUCUUAUGCUUCACUUUAUUGUUUUUUUUUAGUCACUUCGCCUUUGCUCAGCUUUUGUAUUUGUUUCACCUGUUCCUUCUGUCUCCUUGCCUCCUUGUCACACCUGUUCUUAGUUCCUUUGAUUACCUGCCUUUGUCUCCCUCUGUAUAUUAGUUGGUUUUGUUUCAUUGUGCUUUGCUGGUUUCUUCUGUUACUCCCCUGAUUCCGUUUUGCUACGUUCCUGCAGAGAGUACUUCUGUAAGUUUUGGUCUCGACUUUUGUUAGUUCCUGCAGUGAAUUUUGCUAGGUUUUUUGUAAAAACCUCUGGAAUAAAAACUGAAGACUUCUUACAACAUGCAGCUGCCCAGCUCUUGUCUGCACUUUGGUCCGAUCCAAACUCAGAACGUAACAAAAAUGCAUAGCUGAAAAGCUCAGCAAGUUACCAUACAGGAGGCAGAGGUCAUGACCCCUCUCAUUCCCCUCUCGGAGCCCAGGUCAAGGGGUCAGGCCAAGAACCAGCAAAGCCCUCCCAAUGAAGGAACUUCCCAACCCAGACCAUUCCAGACACUCCAACUGGCAACACAUGCUGAAUAGAAAUCUGAACAGUUCCAACCAGGACAAACCCAACCCAAACGCAUGGGACUGAUUUUCUGUUGUAACUGUCAGCAGACUGUACUUUUGCAAUGAAAACUCAUUAUGAGAUGGGAGAUAAAACUUACAGCCUGCACUCCGGAGGAGAGGAUCGCGAGGGAGAGGGAAAGAAGCAGCAGCAGCCUGUUGAUUAAAACACACUCUUAUAAAUCAUAAUAAAUAAAUGAAUAAAUAAUAUGCAUAUUA